rnacentral:rRNA from 1 species
GACGAACGCUGGCGGCGUGCCUAAUACAUGCAAGUAGAACGCACAGUUUAUACCGUAGCUUGCUACACCAUAGACUGUGAGUUGCGAACGGGUGAGUAACGCGUAGGUAACCUGCCUGGUAGCGGGGGAUAACUAUUGGAAACGAUAGCUAAUACCGCAUAAUAUUAAUUAUUGCAUGAUAAUUGAUUGAAAGAUGCAACUGCAUCACUACCAGAUGGACCUGCGUUGUAUUAGCUAGUAGGUGAGGUAACGGCGCACCUAGGCGACGAUACAUAGCCGACCGGAGAGGGUGGUCGGCCACACUGGGACGGAGACACGGCCCAGACUCCUACGGGAGGCAGCAGUAGGGAAUCUUCGGCAAGGGACGAAAGUCUGACCGAGCAACGCCGCGUGAGUGAAGAAGGUUGUCGGAUCGUAAAGCUCUGUUGUAAGAGAAGAACGGGUGUGAGAGUGGAAAGUUCACACUGUGACGGUAUCUUACCAGAAAGGGACGGCUAACUACGUG